rnacentral:rRNA from 1 species
CUCCGGCUCCCGCUAUCGGAUGAGCCUAUGUCGGAUUAGCUGGUUGGUGAGGUAAAGGCUCACCAAGGCGACGAUCCGUAGCUGGUCUGAGAGGAUGAUCAGCCACAUCGGGACUGAGACACGGCCCGAACUCCUACGGGAGGCAGCAGUGGGGAAUAUUGGACAAUGGGGGGAACCCUGAUCCAGCCAUGCCGCGUGUGUGAAGAAGGCCCUCGGGUUGUAAAGCACUUUCAGUGAGGAAGAACGCCUGGUGGUUAAUACCCAUCAGGAAAGACAUCACUCACAGAAGAAGCACCGGCUAACUCCGUGCCAGCAGCCGCGGUAAUACGGAGGGUGCGAGCGUUAAUCGGAAUUACUGGGCGUAAAGCGCGCGUAGGUGGCUUGAUAAGCCGGUUGUGAAAGCCCCGGGCUCAACCUGGGAACGGCAUCCGGAACUGUCAAGCUAGAGUGCAGGAGAGGAAGGUAGAAUUCCCGGUGUAGCGGUGAAAUGCGUAGAGAUCNGGGANGGANAUACCAGUGGCGAAGGCGGCCUUCUGGACUGACACUGACACUGAGGUGCGAAAGCGUGGGUAGCAAACAGGAUUAGAUACCCUGGUAGUCCACGCCGUAAACGAUGUCGACCAGCCGUUGGGUGCCUAGCGCACUUUGUGGCGAAGUUGACGCGAUAAGUCGACCGCCUGGGGAGUACGGCCGCAAGGUUAAAACUCAAAUGAAUUGACGGGGGCCCGCACAAGCGGUGGAGCAUGUGGUUUAAUUCGAUGCAACGCGAAGAACCUUACCUACUCUUGACAUCCUGCGAAUUUGGAAGAGAUACCUUACUGCCUUCAGGAACGAAGAGACAGGUGCUGCAUGGCUGUCGUCCCUCGUGUUGUGAAACGUUGGGUUAAGUCCCGUAACGAGCGCAACCCUUGUCCUUAUUUGCCAGUGCGUAAUGGUCUGAACUCUAUGGAGACUGCCGGUGACAAAACGGAGGAAGGGGGGGACAACGUCAUGU